UACAGAGGGGGCAAGCGUUGCUCGGAAUCACUGGGCGUAAAGGGUGCGUAGGCGGGUCUUUAAGUCCGGGGGGAAAUCCUGGAGCUCAACUCCAGAACUGCCUUUGAUACUGAAGAUCUUGAGUUCGGGAGAGGUGAGUGGAACUGCGAGUGUAGAGGUGAAAUUCGUAGAUAUUCGCAAGAACACCAAUGGCGAAGGCAGCUCGCUGGGACGGUACUGACGCUGAGACGCGAAAGCGUGGGGAGCAAACAGG
rnacentral:rRNA from 1 species